rnacentral:misc_RNA from 1 species
UCUCCGUUGGUGAACCAGCGGAGGGAUCAUUACAGAGUUUUAUAACUCCCAACCCUUUGUGAACUUACCUUUGUUGCCUCGGCGGGUCAGGCUGAUGCUUGGGAUGGCUACUUUGUAGCUACCCUGCAGAGGCCGCCGCCGGUGGGAUUUUAAACUAUUGUCAUGUAUUGUCAUCUGAGAGCCUUAUGAAAAUAAGUCAAAACCUUUAACAACGGAUCUCUUGGUUCUGGCAUCGAUGAAGAACGCAGC